UCUGCAUUGACAGACUGGAGCAGUGUUUUUUAUUCUGUUUUAUAUACGUCGCUACCUACUAUAGUUGUCGGUAUUUUGGACAAGGACUUAAGUCACAAGACAUUAUUGAAGUAUCCGAAACUCAAUGCUGCAGGGCAUCGACAAGAGAGCUAUAAUAUGCCCCUCUUUUGGAUCACUAUGCUUGACAUGCUUUGGCAUAGCCUUGUUCCCUUCUACAUACCCUUGUUUACCUAUAGGGAUAGCACGAUUGACAUAUGGAGUAUGGGCAGUUUGUGGACAAUUGCAGUUGUUAUCUUAGUCAAUAUGCAUUUGGCAAUGGACAUUCAGCGCUGGGUUGUUAUUACUCACAACUCAUAAUGGGGAGCAAUAAUUAUCACAUAUGGUUGCAUGAUGGAGCUUGAUUCUAUACCCGUGUUUUCUAAUUACGGGUUAGCUUAAAUAUUAAGUUUUCAAGAAAAUUCAGUGACAUUAAUGUUUACUUAUUACAUCAUUAUUGCUUUUUUAAGGCUUAUGAGUUUAUUAUUAUUUUCAUUGCUGUACAAUAUACCAUCUGGUGAAGUCACCAGCUUAUUGGCUCUCCAUUUUGUCAAUAAUAGUUGUAGGAUUGCUCCCUCGUUUUGUUUUCGAAGUUUUGCAACAAAUCUUCUGGCCUUCAAAUAUCCAAAUUGCCAGAGAAGCAGAUAUUCUGAGAAAAAGACGGCCUUUUUUUGGUCAAAAGCCAGAUCAGGUUUCAAGCUGACAUGCUUACAAUCUUUAUUGUUUCAGUUAACUCUGUCGUGGUAAAGCUCCCCUCUGGUUUGUCCAUAUAUUGCUUCCGUCGGUCAUCCAAGUGUAGAAGUUACUGGUAAGUUUAUAUAUUUUAUUUAAUUGCACAGCAGACCUUUUUCCCUGUCAUGUAACCAAUGCUUGAUUGCGAUCUCUCAUCUUAAGUACUUACCAAAACUAUGGUUUGUAGAUCUAGUAACGCAUUGCGUAUAGUAAUUGAUAUUUGCCUCAUGCCAUAUUGUUCUUGUUGUUUAGAUCUCUGUGGCAUUUCGUGCAAAUCUGACUUGCCAAUUUGAUAGAUCCUAGCUCUUAAGGACUAUGACACUGUGUACAAUAAUCAAUUGAGACCAGACUGCUUUCUUUUUCUUACUUAUGUAUUGCAAUCUGUCUUUUAAACAGCAACUAUACAGUUAAGAAGAGAAAUUUUUACUGUACAAGCAUGAGGUAGGGGGGAUAUAUUUCUUUUAGGAGUUGGCAGAACACAGUUCUUAAUGAUCUCUGUCUCCUUUUAUCCGUAUGCCAUUUGUUUAUAUAUUUAUGAUAAAAGUAAGGUGUUUUUGGUCAUGACUUCGGUAGUGAAUGUUCACAUGGAAGAAGCUAAUUAAUAGCUUCCAGGAAUUUACUUAGAGUCUGUUUGGGAGUGAUUUUGAAAAUUGAUUUUUUGACCGUUAGAAGAAAAGUGAGGUCCACCUGUGAGAGAAAAAGUCAAAUAUGUCGGCUAGAAUAGUGAAAUAACGGUCAAAAAAUCACCCCCAAACAUGCUGUUAUUGUGGUUCUAAAUUUCGUAGCUGUACUUCGUGUUUCCUUUAUGAACUCAAAUCCAGAGGGUAUUUUUUUUCCCUUAUUUUUCUCUGAUAAAUCAAUUAUUCUAUGAUCAUCCAUUUCGAACUUGUCUGGCCAUCCAUUACUCUAGAUUUUUAUACGAAUAUAGGUACAAAAGCUUGGCACAUUGGUGUUUGUAAGGCUUUCCCGCUUCUUUCUUGGAUUUUCCUAAAUCAUUGCUUUUCAAUGCUUCAGGUUGUCUACAUGACUUGUCGCCAGCAUAUGAACAAGUUACCAGACUCGAAAAAUAAUUGGCUUUAUAGAAAAGUGAGAGGAGCGGGGACCGACUCCAAGCUGUGUUGAUAAAAAGAGGUUAAAGAUCAAAUAAUUCGGUUGAGGAGAAAUAGUGACCUAAAACCAGGAGGGGGUGUGCUUGGAUAUUUGCUUGGUAUAUGCAUGAAGAUUUUAUUUUGAUUUAUGCAAUUUCAGGCCAGUACUAAGAACUUAAAUCUCGAGUAAUUUUAGUUGCUCUUGGAAGAGAGCAGAGAAAAGAAAAACGGAGGGAAAGAACCAGAAGAGAGAGAGGAAGAAAAGAAAGAAAGAAAUAAACCUAAUUAUAAAAAGUAGGCGUUGAUUUUACUGAACUAGUCAAAGAAUGUUUUACUGUUCCAGGAGCGUGACGAAUGAAAUAAUUUUUACUCCCUUUCGAAAUAUGCAAGGUUAUUAGUCCCUUGGUGUCAGCUGAGAAAAUCCCUUGCCCCUUGUGAUUGUUUAGUAGAUUGAUAUUGCAAUGUUUAUAUAAAACUUCAAUAUUUCUGUAAUUCGUG
rnacentral:lncRNA from 1 species